UAAAAAGUCAAGUGUUAAUCUAUCAACUUCAUUAUCUGAGACCUUGAAACUUUUCUUUAGCCUGAAUACUCUUUCCUUUUUGUUACCCCUUACUCUAAAAGUCAUUUCUUCCGGAACUGGUUUAAUUUUCCGACAAAGUUUUCGUCAAUCUGAUCCGCUGUUUCAUCUCGAGAUAAGGAUUUGGUGAUCAUAUAGCCGUAGACUAUUAUUUCAGUAUUGUGAUCAUCUCUUAAAGGUGCUUAAGAUGCUAGGAAUGUUGUGCUUUGGUGAAUCAAGUGCCAUGCCCCGAUGUUUCCGCCAUCGGUUGGGGUGUGACAAACCUCCACUACUCCUCAAGGCUCAAGGUUAUGGCUCCGUGUUCGUGUUCGUCGGUCGGUGAUCGCGUCCAUCCAACCAUGAGCGGCUAGUCUCUUCGGUUUCACCCCGGUGUAGAUGUUGUAAGAUUUUCUAAGGCUUAUGCAUUUGUAUUUUGAUUUGAUUUUGUGACAAAUUGUUUAGUAUUUGAACCUUGGAUAAUUGUCUUGCAUUUGUUUCGAAUUCGUGAAUUGUCGAGUGAUGAUAAAAUUUGACUUUGCGAAAUGGUUAUGUGCAAUUAUGCAUUAUCUUAGGUUAGGAUUUACAUGUCCGAGGUAAUGAAGUGCAUUGCGGUCCGUUGUCUAUGACGUCGAUAGCAAUUGGCACCUAAACUUCGUGAUAGAAAUCCGUUAAUCACUAUAUGCAAUUGAAUCAAGUUAAAACGUGUAAGAACCCUAAGUCUUGCAGUUAUCGAACUGGGCGUGAUCCGUUUUCCCAAUUCUUGUUUUCAGUUAAGUAAUUUAGUUUUGCAUUCUUAGUUAAUAAACAAUUGUAUUAGAUAAUAGCAAUUUGUCGGUUCACUCGGACUCUUUUUACAUUAAACAAACAAAGAAAAUUAGCAAGCUUCAUAAGUAUUUUGUACAUUUUUGUAAAUAGUUUAGACAAUCGAACAACUAGUGUGAUACUGACCACAUAAUCUUCGUGGAUACGAUACUCGACUUACCCUAGCUACCUAGGUAAAUUGGGUUUUUGACUGAUCGGGACGACACGGUCACGUCAAAAUGGCGUCGUUGCCGGGGAGCUAGUGCGCUUAGUAUUUCAUUGCUUGUUCGAUUUUAGUUUAGUUUUUUUUCUUUCUUGUAUAUUCGUGAUUUUACUUUGGGUGGUCGAGCUUGUGUGUGCAGGUACAUGUUUUGCAGGAAUUACUUUUCAAUAUGAAUUGGGUGGAUGAUGAUCCUUGUGAGUGUUGCGGAAGCGGAGAGCAUUAUUUGGAGGAUUGCUCAGUUUUCUACGAAAAAGUUCAAGCUUACAAGGAUCGGGAAGACUACCUUAGCGGAUUGUACAGAUAUGGGAGGGCGGAUUAUGAAGAUUUCAAUGGUCCAUCCUCAUAUUAUCCAUACGAUAAUCCACCACCACCACACUAUCAAGAAUACUACUAUGAAACCGAAUUGCCACAUUUCUCAAGUUACCGGGAGGAGUAUGAUGAUUAUUAUAAUGAAUACCCUCAACCGGCAUCCGAGGAACCUCAAGAUUCAAUGCAUUCCAAGCUUAAUGCUCUCAUAAAUAUGGUGAAAGGAUAUCACGAAGAUAUCAAAGAUAUGAAGAAAGCGAAUGAAGUAAGAGAUAAAGCCCAUGAAGUAUUGGUGAUGCAAGUGGGUCAAUUAGCGGAGGAAAUAGCCCAAAUUAAACGCGACCAAGAGGUUUUGGCUAAUGGUGCAAUGGUGGAUGGUGAUGUGGUGGAAGAGGUUAUGGAACUUUCGGAGCAAGUAAUUGAAUGUUUGAACCGAGCGGAAGACGUAACACCGCAAGACGGGUCAGAGUCAAAAGAAGCUCAAAGUCAUAUCUCUCCUUCUCCCAAACUUAUCACUCCAACCAACAAAGUUAGGGAUGCGGGUUCGGGUAUAAGGAUUCGAAGGGUGGCCUUGCAAGACAUUGUACAAUUCGUCAAGAAACGACCCCAAAGUAGUUUAUACACAUGCCGCGUAAAAUAAAAAGAGAAUGGAUCCGGCAUGCCAACUACCGAGCGUAUGUUGGAAACUCGGUAGGCAAAUGUGCACUUCGACCACCAUGAGAGGUAAAUCCGAUAUGAUUGUUGUAGAGUUUGUAUUAUUUUCAUUUUAUUUUAUUUUCUUAGUUAAAUGAACGUUGUGGGUGUGUUCCCUAUAUAACCCUCAUGAGACCUACUCGUCCUCCCGAGCUAUCGGGUGGUUUAAAAGGGCUUGUUGCAUAAUCUAAAUGCAACCGUGAUUCCUACGAAAGUGAGUUAGGUUUGUUGUUAUUGUAAAUUAUUUUUCCAUAUAAAUCAAAGUGAAUUAACGUAUGACUUGGUAACAAUUUCAUAAAAGUGGUAGAACUAGGUAAUUAAUAAAUUUUAAUGGUUGUGAGAAGCAUGCUUCUACACAAGGGUUAUGAUUUGUAAGUACAUUAUGUUCGUGGGACAACCGCUUUCUUGAAAAGAUAAAGAACACAUGAGCCACUAGCGAGAAAAAUCAGGCAUUGGCGCGUUUAAGGUGCAUUUUGGAGAUUUACUGAAGUUUUGGGCGGAUGCUAGAGAGAACAUAAUUGAAGAAAAUGCAAAAAAGAGGCAAAACUGAGCUGAACUCUGCGCCAGAUGCAGUCCAAACUUCAUUUUGGCUUAUCCUGAGCUAGAAAAUGAGUUUCGGGGCUUAUAAUAUAUGCAUUUGAGGUAGCUCGACGAGACGAAUCAAAAUUUACGAUUUUGAAGGGCCAAAAAUUGACGCAUUAUCUGCUGCACACCGGCUGAUUAGUAAAAACGGGAUUUUUUGAGAGAAAAAGUAAAUUUUGGAAAAGGGGGAGUUACACUUUAUUAUUCCUUCAACUCCCAUUCAUUUGAAAAAAAAAAAAAACAUCUCUAACUCAUCCCUAACACCACCUACCAUUCACCUCUAAACUAGAACCCUAAUCCAUCCACAAUCAUCAUUUCCAUCAUCUUCAAUCAUUCUCCAUCAAACCUUCAAACCCUAACCUCGACCACUUCUCAAGGCUCAAGGUCAUGGCUACGUGUUCGUGUUCGUCGGCCGGUGAUCGCGUCCACCCAACCAUGAGCGGCUAGUCUCUUCGGUUUCACCCCGGUGUAGAUGUUGUAAGAUUUUCUAAGGCUUAUGCAUUUGUAUUUUGAUUUGAUUUUGUGACAAAUUGUUUAAUAUUUGAACC